UGAACGCUGGCGGCAUGCCUUACACAUGCAAGUCGAACGGUAGAGGGGGCAACCCCUCGAGAGUGGCGAACGGGUGAGUAAUAUAUCGGAACGUGCCCAGUCGUGGGGGAUAACGUAGCGAAAGUUACGCUAAUACCGCAUACGAUCUACGGAUGAAAGCGGGGGAUCGCAAGACCUCGCGCGAUUGGAGCGGCCGAUAUCAGAUUAGGUAGUUGGUGGGUAAAGGCUCACCAAGCCAACGAUCUGUAGCUGGUCUGAGAGGACGACCAGCCACACUGGAACUGAGACACGGUCCAGACUCCUACGGGAGGCAGCAGUGGGGAAUUUUGGACAAUGGGGGAAACCCUGAUCCAGCCAUUCCGCGUGUGCGAUGAAGGCCUUCGGUUGUAAAGCACUUUGGUCAGGAAGAAAUCGCAUCAAUUAAUACUUGGUGUGGAUGACGGUACCUGCAGAUAAGCACCGGCUAACUACGUGCCAGCAGCCGC
rnacentral:rRNA from 1 species